CCCUUAGAUGUUCUGGGCCGCACGCGCGCUACACUGAUGCAUUCAACAAGUUCACCUUGGCCGAGAGGCUUGGGCAAUCUUUUGAACAUGCAUCGUGAUAGGGAUAGAUUAUUGCAAUUAUUAAUCUUGAACGAGGAAUUCCUAGUAAACGUAGAUCACCAAUCUGCAUUGAUUACGUCCCUGCCCUUUGUACACACCGCCCGUCGCACCUACCGAUUGAAUGGUCCGGUGAAGCCUCGAGAUUGUGGCCAGCUCGCUUUAUUGGGAGUUGGUUGCGAGAACUUGUCUAAACCUUAUCAUUUAGAGGAAGGUGAAGUCGUAACA
rnacentral:rRNA from 1 species